AUACAAACAGACAUGCUAAAGUGCUUCCAUAAGAAGCUGAAUCAUGACUAUAAGAGUUGGAAAGAAGGAAAGAUAUGAAGUGUGAAAAAUGUUAGAAAAUAUGUCUCAAGAUUCAGUCUAUAUUGAGCCUACAGUGAGGUUCAAGAUAAAAAAUGGAGUCCAAUAAACUCAAGAACAGUCUAAACGGAGUUCAGACGGAAAAAAUACGCAUGA
rnacentral:lncRNA from 1 species